UACGUAGGGUGCAAGCGUUGUCCGGAAUUAUUGGGCGUAAAGAGCUCGUAGGCGGUCUGUCGCGUCGGCGUGUGAAAUCCCGAGGCUCAACCUCGGGUCUGCAGUCGAUACGGGCAAACUAGAGUAUUGCAGGGGAGACUGGAAUUCCUGGUGUAGCGGUGAAAUGCGCAGAUAUCAGGAGGAACACCGGUGGCGAAGGCGGGUCUCUGGGCCGAUACUGACGCUGAGGAGCGAAAGCGUGGGGAGCGAACAGG
rnacentral:rRNA from 1 species